CGCGCAAAGUAGCCCUCAAAAGAAAAGAAAAAGCAGACGCGCAAAGAAAGGAGGGGAAGCAGAGGAGGGCCGGAGCGCCGCCGGCCACAUCAACAUUCCGGCGACCCCGGGCGCGGCGGCAACGACUCCGGCGACGACGGCGCGGGUAAAUGAUAUGCAACUACCGUUGCUUUUGACAUUGUGGCCACAUUGAGAUCAAAUAUAUUUAAAUAUUUGGGUACAUGAGAUGAAAUAUUUCGGGCUACAAAUUAGGAGAACACUGGUGAUCACUGGUGUUGUUGGAAAAUUUCAUGUUGUUUCAUACCCUACGGUGAUUCCUGGUUGUCUGCUGGAUGAAGAUGGGAUUGCUUGGGUUUUGAGAAACAUCUACUCCGUCAGGUUGGCUUAUCAUGUGCUCACUGAUGAUGCUGGCCAGGAAAGAAACCUGAGAGUGGCUUGUGCAGCUUGCUCAACUGGCACUAAAGUGGUAAAUUACCUGGAUGGAAGAAGGUGUGGAAGAUAAAAGUGCACAAAGUUUGCAAUUUCUGGUGGAGAGCUCUGCAUAAUUUCAAGUAGGGGAUGGAAGGCCGCUCACCAGCAGGAGUUUGGGCUCAAUCAUGAAGAGUUGAAGGUCAACCCUUCCGGUGCGGAUUUAUCUUUCUGAUGAAGCUUACGGCCGUGUUGAUGGAUCAUAUAGAAGGUUCAGGAGCGUACAGUUUUUAAAUUUGUUCAGCACACACAUACAUACUCCCUCUGUAAAUGUAAGCAUUUUGGUACAGAGGGAGUAGUUGAUAGCGUUUUUUAUACUGGGAGAUUCCCAAAGAACAUAUGUUCAUGGACCGUUGCUCAUAUGAGUUACUCCCUCCGUUCACUUUUGUAAGUCGUUUCAGACAACUCAAAAUAUGUUGUUUUGCACAUUGUCUGAAAUGUCUUCAAGGUCUUAUAAAAGUGAACAGAGGGAGUAGUACAUUUCUAGCUUUUAUGGUCGCUCCGUCAGAAUACUAAUUCCCGUUUCUUUUAUGGAACAUUGAUA